UGUUUAUAUAAAGGGUUUUGAAAACCUUUUGAGGAGGUAAUAUCCUCCAAACU
rnacentral:tRNA from 1 species